rnacentral:rRNA from 1 species
AUUGAACGCUGGCGGCAGGCUUAACACAUGCAAGUCGAACGAGUGGCGGACGGGUGAGUAAUGCUUGGGAAUCUGGCUUAUGGAGGGGGAUAACGACGGGAAACUGUCGCUAAUACCGCGUACCAUAGGAUGAGCCCAAGUGGGAUUAGGUAGUUGGUGGGGUAAUGGCCUACCCAGCUGACGAUCUCUAGCUGGUCUGAGAGGAUGACCAGCCACAGUGGAACUGAGACACGUUCCAAACUCAUACGGGAGGCAGCAGUGGGGAAUAUUGCACAAUGGGCGCAAGCCUGAUGCAGCCAUGCCGCGUGUAUGAAGAAGGCCUUCGGGUUGUAAAGUACUUUCAGCGGGGAGGCGUUACCCGCAGAAGAAGCACCGGCUAACUCCGUGCCAGCAGCCGCGGUAAUAC